rnacentral:rRNA from 1 species
AGAGUUUGAUCCUGGCUCAGAUUGAACGCUGGCGGCAGGCCUAACACAUGCAAGUCGAGCGGAUGAUGGGAGCUUGCUCCCGGAUUCAGCGGCGGACGGGUGAGUAAUGCCUAGGAAUCUGCCUGGUAGUGGGGGACAACGUUUCGAAAGGAACGCUAAUACCGCAUACGUCCUACGGGAGAAAGCAGGGGACCUUCGGGCCUUGCGCUAUCAGAUGAGCCUAGGUCGGAUUAGCUAGUUGGUGGGGUAAAGGCCUACCAAGGCGACGAUCCGUAACUGGUCUGAGAGGAUGAUCAGUCACACUGGAACUGAGACACGGUCCAGACUCCUACGGGAGGCAGCAGUGGGGAAUAUUGGACAAUGGGCGAAAGCCUGAUCCAGCCAUGCCGCGUGUGUGAAGAAGGUCUUCGGAUUGUANAGCACUUUAAGUUGGGAGGAAGGGCACUCAGUUAAUACCUUGCUGUCUUGACGUUACCAACAGAAUAAGCACCGGCUAACUUCGUGCCAGCAGCCGCGGUAAUACGAAGGGUGCAAGCGUUAAUCGGAAU